GCUGGGUGUGGUGGCGCACACCUGUAAUCCCAUUUACCGGGGAGGCUGAGGCAGGAGAAUCGCUUGAACCCAGGAGGCGGAGGUUGCAGUGAGCUGAGAUUGUGACACUGCACUCCAGCCUGGGUGACAGAGCGAGACUCUGUCACAC
rnacentral:SRP_RNA from 2 species